AUUGAACGCUAGCGGGAUGCCUUACACAUGCAAGUCGAACGGCAGCACGGGAGCAAUCCUGGUGGCGAGUGGCGAACGGGUGAGUAAAGUAACGGAACGUGCCCAGUCGUGGGGGCUAACGUAGCGAAAGUUACGCUAAUACCGCAUAAGCACGAUGGAUGAAAGCGGGGGAUCGCAAGACCUCGACCGAUUGGAACGGCCGAUAUCAGAUUAGGUAGUAGGUGGGGUAAAGGCCCACCAAGCCGACGAUCUGUAGCUGGUCUGCGAGGACGACCAGCCACACUGGGACUUGGACACGGCCCAGACUCCUACGGGAGGCAGCAGUGGGGAAUUUUGGACAAUGGGCGAAAGCCUGAUCCAGCCAUGCCGCGUGCAGGAUGAAGGCCUUCGGGUUGUAAACUGCUUUUGUACGGAACGAAAAGGUUUGGCCUAAUAAGCUGAGCUCAUGACGGUACCGUAAGAAUAAGCACCGGCUAACUACGUGCCAGCCGCCGCGGUAA
rnacentral:rRNA from 1 species